GAUGAACGCUGGCGGCGUGCCUAAUACAUGCAAGUCGAGCGAACAGACGAGGAGCUUGCUCCUCUGACGUUAGCGGCGGACGGGUGAGUAACACGUGGAUAACCUACCUAUAAGACUGGGAUAACUUCGGGAAACCGGAGCUAAUACCGGAUAAUAUAUUGAACCGCAUGGUUCAAUAGUGAAAGACGGUUUUGCUGUCACUUAUAGAUGGAUCCGCGCCGCAUUAGCUAGUUGUUAAGGUAACGGCUUACCAUGGCAACGAUCCGUAACCGACCGGACAGGGUGGUCGGCCACACUGGAACGGAGACACGGACAAAGCUCCUACGGGAGGCAGCAGUAGGGAAUAUUCCGCAGUGGGCGGAAGCAUGACGGAGCAACGCAGCGUGAGUGAUGAAGGUCUUCCGAUCGUAAAACUCUGUUAUUAGGGAUGAACAAAUGUGUAAGUAAAUAUGCACGUCUUGACGGUACCUAAUCAGAAAGCCACGGCUAACUACGUG
rnacentral:rRNA from 1 species